AAUUCGCCCUUGAGCACGUAGGUGGGUUUGUAAGUCAGAUGUGAAAGCCUUCUGUUCAACGGAAGAAUUGCAUCUGAAACUACAAGUCUUGAGUGUAGGAGGGGAGAAUGGAACUUCUGGUGGAGCGGUGAAAUCUGUAGAUAUCAGAAGGAACGCCGGCGGCGAAAGCGAUUCUCUGGCCUAUUACUGACACUCAGUGUGCGAAAGCUAGGGGAGCAAACGGGAUUAGAUACCCCGGUAGUCCUAGCCGUAAACGAUGGGCACUAAGUAGUGGGAAUUACCGAUGUUCUCUCUGCCGUAGCUAACGCAUUAAGUGCCCCGCCUGGAGAGUACGGCCGCAAGGCUAAAACUCAAAAGAAUUGACGGGGGCUCGCACAAGCGGUGGAGCAUGUGGCUUAAUUCGAUGCAACGCGAAAAACCUUACCGGGGCUUGACAUGUUAGAAGUGGGAACCUGGAAGGGUAACGAACGGUAUCCAGUCCGUAGCUAUCACAGGUGUUGCAUGGCUGUCGUCAGCUCGUGUCGUGAGACGUUGGGUUAAGUCCCCUAACGAGCGAAACCCUUGUUUUUAGUUACCAGCGGGUUGUGCCGGGUACUCUAGAAAGACUGCCGUCGUCAAGACGGAGGAAGGUGGGGAUGACGUCAAGUCAUCAUGGCCCUUAUGCCCCGGGCUGCACACGCGCUACAAUGGUCGGUACAAACGGAAGCGAAGCCGAGAGGUGAAGCGAAUCCAAGGGCGAAUU
rnacentral:rRNA from 1 species